rnacentral:rRNA from 1 species
AGAGCGAACGCUGGCGGCAGGCCUAAUACAUGCAAGUCGAACGGAUCCUUCGGGAUUAGUGGCGGACGGGUGAGUAACACGUGGGAACGUGCCCUUUGGUUCAGAACAACUCAGGGAAACUUGAGCUAAUACUGGAUAAGCCCUUCGGGGGAAAGAUUUAUCGCCAUUGGAGCGGCCCGCGUCUGAUUAGCUAGUUGGUAGGGUAAAGGCCUACCAAGGCUACGAUCAGUAGCUGGUCUGAGAGGAUGAUCAGCCACACUGGGACUGAGACACGGCCCAGACUCCUACGGGAGGCAGCAGUAGGGAAUCUUGCGCAAUGGGCGAAAGCCUGACGCAGCCAUGCCGCGUGAAUGAUGAAGGUCUUAGGAUUGUAAAAUUCUUUCAGCGGGACGAUAAUGACGGUACCCGCAGAAGAAGCCCCGGCUAACUUCGCGCCAGCAGCCGC